AUCCCACCACCUGGAGAAAACCACAGGAACCCUUUAUAGGAUAGCUUCUCAUUCUUUCUGUGCAAAAAUAUAAAUAUUUUAGUAUUUUAUAAACAUAUGAUUAUAACCUCCAUGUUGUUUUUUAACUUGUUUUUUAAAAUUGUAAUCAACAAUAUAUUGUGAGCAUUAUACAAAUAUAUUUUCACCUAUGACAUCAUUUUAAAUGAAUGAAUAGAAUUACAUUCUACAGAUAUAUUAUAAUUUUUUUUGAUAUAUUAUAAUUUACUUAAACAAUUACCUCAUUACCAGGCAAGACUUUGAAAUCUAUUGCUAUAUUCUUUUUUUUUUUUAUUGCUAUAUUCUAAUAACCAGUUGGAAACUUCUAUUUCAGAUAAAUACAUUUUGGCUCUCUCAGCCUGCCGGACCCCUGGCAUGAAUCAAGGAGAAGUAGCUCAGGAGCUGCGGGGAAAAAAUGAAGACUCCUUUAGUAUUUGGAUCAGAAUCCACCAAAGUAUUUAUUUCAAACAGGCGUAAAUGGAGGAAGCUAAUACCAGUGACUGACCUCCAGGAAAUUGAUCCCCCACUGACAGUGGAAUGCAUGGCAUCUGAACUUCAUGUGCGUGGGCCACCAUGGAUGCACAGUUUCAGACAAUCAAGCAAGGCGUUGAGACCAGAUCUAGUUGUUUCAUUUAGCACGUUGAUUCCAGGAGUUCUGGUGAAGACAAAUGUAAUAAAAAUUUUUGAUCUGAUGCAAAAUUAUUUUCUUCUUGCCAACACUCUCAGAAUUCUUCUCUCCCAUUACUUUGUGAUGCUUUGGUUAUGUAAGCCUUCUCUUCCCAGGUCUAAUUUUGAUCUCAGGUGUGCUGGAAUCUGACUCACUCAUGUGUGUCUGGAGUCAGUGAGCAGAGGUGGGGUGGGCCACAGAGGACGUCCUCUUGCACAGCCACCACUCAAUGAACUUAACUGUUUUUAGAACAAGAUGGAGCCAACCUCAUGGGAAUGGGAGGAAAGGCAGGAAGCUCUGUUGAGUUUCAGACAAAGUAUCUCCAUCCCAGCACACAGGGGAAGAACCACUUUUUCCCAACAAAUAUCCUGAAAGGCCUGGUGAAACUGAAUUCAAUCUAUUUUUGUGAUUCGUCAGUCUUCAGGAUCCAUCUCUGCCUCUGUUUUUCGG
rnacentral:lncRNA from 1 species